rnacentral:lncRNA from 1 species
AUUCCUUGCCCUACCUCCUACCAUUCCUUGCCCUACCUCCUACCAUUCCUUGCCCUACCUCCUACCAUUCCUUGCCCUACCUCCUACCAUUCCUUACCCUACCUCCUACCAUUCCUUGCCCUACCUCCUACCAUUCCUUACCCUACCUCCUACCAUUCCUUGCCCUACCUCCUACCAUUCCUUGCCCUACCUCCUACCAUUCCUUGCCCUACCUCCUACCAUUCCUUGCCCUACCUCCUACCAUUCCUUGCCCUACCUCCUACCAUUCCUUGCCCUACCUCCUACCAUUCCUUGCCCUACCUCCUACCAUUCCUUGCCCUACCUCCUACCAUUCCUUACCCUACCUCCUACCAUUCCUUACCCUACCUCCUACCAUUCCUUACCCUACCUCCUACCAUUCCUUACCCUACCUCCUGCCAUUCCUUGCCCUACCUCCUACCAUUCCUUACCCUACCUCCUACCAUUCCUUACCCUACCUCCUACCAUUCCUUGCCCUACCUCCUACCAUUCCUUGCCCUACCUCCUACCAUUCCUUACCCUACCUCCUACCAUUCCUUACCCUACCUCCUACCAUUCCUU